rnacentral:lncRNA from 1 species
CUGCACUCGGCUGCUUUUGCGUGGAGCCUGCAGCAGCCCCGGCUCAGAGCAGGCACGAGAGCUGCAUUUGGAAGCGGGAGCGAUUGUGAAAUCUCAGCGAUGAGCAAGACCGUUCCACCAAGUUUGGAGCCAGACAAGAGGGUAGUUUCCUCCAAUGCUGAGCCAUCUGCCCACCCACUGCUACUGGAGAGCAUCUCAGAAAACUGCGCUUCAAAGACCGCCUUUCUCAAUGAACUGCCAAGCCUAGGUCAGCCCUUUUCUUCCACUGGGUACUUUCCCUAUUACAGGACAUGUGGAGACCUCCACACCAGUCCAGCUCCUUGUGAUAGGUUCUUCACCAGGAUAGAAAUUUUGGGGGAUGAAGAGGGAGGAGGAGAGGGAGAAACAAGUGUUUGGAAUUUCAAUACCAGCUGCUCAGCAUGCUGA